GACGAACGCUGGCGGCGUGCCUAAUACAUGCAAGUUGAGCGCUGAAGGUUGGUACUUGUACCAACUGGAUGAGCAGCGAACGGGUGAGUAACGCGUGGGGAAUCUGCCUUUGAGCGGGGGACAACAUUUGGAAACGAAUGCUAAUACCGCAUAAAAACUUUAAACACAAGUUUUAAGUUUGAAAGAUGCAAUUGCAUCACUCAAAGAUGAUCCCGCGUUGUAUUAGCUAGUUGGUGAGGUAAAGGCUCACCAAGGCGAUGAUACAUAGCCGACCUGAGAGGGUGAUCGGCCACAGUGGGACUGAGACACGGCCCAAACGCCUACGGGAGGCAGCAGGAGGGAAUCUUCGGCAAGGGACGAAAGUCUGACCGAGCAACGCCGCGGGAGGGAAGAAGGUUGUCGGAUCGUAAAACUCGGUUGGUAGAGAAGAACGUUGGUGAGAGUGGAAAGCUCAUCAAGUGACGGUAACUACCCAGAAAGGGACGGCUAACUACGUG
rnacentral:rRNA from 1 species